UGGGUGAUCUGCCCUGCACUUCGGGAUAAGCCUGGGAAACUGGGUCUAAUACCGGAUAUGACUGCGAAUCGCAUGGUUUGUGGUGGAAAGCUUUUGCGGUGUGGGAUGGGCCCGCGGCCUAUCAGCUUGUUGGUGGGGUGAUGGCCUACCAAGGCGACGACGGGUAGCCGGCCUGAGAGGGUGUCCGGCCACACUGGGACUGAGAUACGGCCCAGACCUCCCGUACGGGGAGGCA
rnacentral:rRNA from 1 species